CUCAGCAACGGAAGACUCCGAGGUCUCGGUACUCUCCAGGGAUGAGUCAUGUGGAGAUGGAAAAUGCGCUCGGGCUGGACCAACAGUUUGCAGGCCUAGACCUGAACUCUUCAGAUAAUCAGAGUGGCGGAAGUACAGCCAGCAAAGGGCACUAUAUUCCUCCUCAUUUAAGGAAUCAAGAAGCUACUAAAGGUUUCUACGAUAAAGAGUUCAGGGUGGAGUUCUAGCAAAGAUAAGGAUGCAUAUAGCAGUUUUGGAUCUCGUAGUGAUUCAAGCAGUAGUGAAGUCUAGCUUCUUCAGUGUUCAUGGAAGUGGAUCGAGGGGAAGGUUUGAUAAUCGUGGACAGAGUGAUUAUGACGGCCUUGACAGCCGUGGUGACAGAAGUGGCUUUGGAAAAUUUGGACGUGGUGGAAACAGUCGCUGGUGUGGCAAAUCAGAUGAAGAUGAUUGGUCAAAACCACUCCCACCAAGUGAACACUUGGAACAGGAACUCUUCUCUGGAGGCAACACUGAGAUUAAUUUUGAGAAAUAUGACAUUCCAAUAGAGGCAACAAGCUGCAACUGCCCUCCACAUACUGAAAGUUUCAGUGAUGUUGAGAUGGGAGAAAUUUUCAUGGGAAACAUUGAGCUUACUCAUACUCACCUGACUCCAGUGCAAAUGCAUGCUAUUCUUAUUAUUAAAGAAAAAAGAGAUUUGAUGGCUUGUGCCCAAACAGGGUCUGGAAAACCUGCAGCACUUCUCUUGCCCAUCUUGAGUCAGAGUUAUUCAGAUGAUCCAGGCAAGGCUUUGAGGGCCAUGAAGGAAAAUGGAAGGUAUGGGCACUGCAAGCAAUACUCAAUCUUCUUGGUAUUAGCACCAACAAGAGAGUUGGCAAUACAGAUCUGUGAGGAAGCCAGAAAAUUUUCAUACCGAUCUAGAGUUUGUCCUUGGGUAGUUUUUGAUGGUGCCAAUAUUGGUCAGCAGAUUCUAGACUUGGAACGUGGAUGCCACUUGUUAGUAGCCACUCCAGGAUGUCUGAUGGAUAUGAUGGAAGAAGAAAGAUUGGAUUCGACUUUUGCAAAUACUUGGUGUUAGAUGAAGCUGAUCGGAUGUUGGAUAUGGGGUUUGAGCUUCAGAUACACAGAAUAGUUGAACAGAUGCUAUGCCUCCAAAGGGUGUCCGCCACACUAUGAUGUUUAGUGCUACUUUUCGAAAAUACAGACGCUGACUCGUGAUUUCUUUAAUGAAUAUAUCUUCUUGGCUGUAGGAAGAGUUGGCUCUACCUCUGAAAACAUCAUGCACAAGUAGUUUGGGCGGAAGAAUCAGACAAAUGGUCAUUUCUACCUGACCUCCUAAAUGCAACAGGCAAGCAUUCACUGACCUUAGUGUUUGUGGAGACCAAAAAGGGUGCAGAUUCUCUGGAGGAUUUUUUAUGCCAUGAAGGAUACGCAUGUGCAAGUAUCCAUGGAGAUAGGGAAGAGGCCCUUCACCAGUUCCACUCAGGAAAAGGCUCAAUUCUAGUGGCUACAGCAGUAGCAGCAAGGGGACUGGACAUUUCAAAUGUGAAACAUGUUAUCAAUUUUGACUUGCCAAGUGAUACUGAAGAAUAUGUACAUCACGUUGGUCAUACAGGACGUGUAGGGAACCUUGGCCUGGCAACCUUAUUCUUUAACUAGAGGAACAUAAAUAUUAAUAAGAAUUUGUUGGUUCUUCUUGUUGAAGCUAAACAGGAAGUGCCAUCUUGGUUAGAAAACAUGGCUUAUGAACACUACAAGGGUAGCAGUUGUGUAUGUCCUAAGAGUCUCAGAUUUAGUGAAGUGUUUGGUGCCAGAGACUACCAACAAAGUAGCAGUGACAGCAGUUCCAGCUUCAGCAGCAGCCCCAUAAGCAGCAGCCACAGUGGCAGAGGUGGCCACAGCAGCAGCAGAGGAUUCGGUGGAGGUGGCUAUGGAGGCUUUUACAACAGUGAUGGAGAUGGAGGAAAUUAUAACUCCCAUGGGGUUUACUGGUGGGGUAACUGAGCCUGCUUUUCAGUAGGUCACCCUGCCAAACAAGCUAAUAUGGAAACCAUAUGUAACUUAGCCAGACUAUACCUCAUGUAGUAUCAAGAACUCGCAGUACAUUACCACCUGUGAUUUUCCACUGAAAUUUUUUUAAGGGAGCUCAAGUUCACAAGAAGAAGGGAAAGGAACAAUCAGCAGCCCCAUUCAGAAGGUGGUUUGAAGACUUCAUUGCUAUAGUUUUGAUUAACUCCCCUCCCGCCUACCCCAACCCCAAACUGCAUUUAUAAUUUUGUGACUGAGGAUCAUUUGUUUGUUAAUGUGCUGUGCCUUUAACUUUAGACUUUUUAUUUUGA